CGAACGGGUGAGUAACACGUGGGCAAUCUGCCCUUCACUCUGGGACAAGCCCUGGAAACGGGGUCUAAUACCGGAUACGACGCGCUCGGGCAUCCGAUGUGCGUGGAAAGCUCCGGCGGUGAAGGAUGAGCCCGCGGCCUAUCAGCUUGUUGGUGAGGUAACGGCUCACCAAGGCGACGACGGGUAGCCGGCCUGAGAGGGCGACCGGCCACACUGGGACUGAGACACGGCCCAGACUCCUACGGGAGGCAGCAGUGGGGAAUAUUGCACAAUGGGCGAAAGCCUGAUGCAGCGACGCCGCGUGAGGGAUGACGGCCUUCGGGUUGUAAACCUCUUUCAGCAGGGAAGAAGCGAAAGUGACGGUACCUGCAGAAGAAGCGCCGGCUAACUACGUGCCAGCAGCCGCGGUAAUACGUAGGGCGCGAGCGUUGUCCGGAAUUAUUGGGCGUAAAGAGCUCGUAGGCGGUCUGUCGCGUCGGAUGUGAAAGCCCGGGGCUUAACCCCGGGUCUGCAUUCGAUACGGGCAGACUAGAGUGUGGUAGGGGAGAUCGGAAUUCCUGGUGUAGCGGUGAAAUGCGCAGAUAUCAGGAGGAACACCGGUGGCGAAGGCGGAUCUCUGGGCCAUUACUGACGCUGAGGAGCGAAAGCGUGGGGAGCGAACAGGAUUAGAUACCCUGGU
rnacentral:rRNA from 1 species